UAGGGAAUCUUCCGCAAUGGGCGAAAGCCUGACGGAGCAACGCCGCGUGAGUGAAGAAGGAUUUCGGUUCGUAAAACUCUGUUGUUAGGGAAGAAUGAUUAUAUAGUAACUAUAUAUAGUAGAGACGGUACCUAACCAGAAAGCCACGGCUAACUACGUGCCAGCAGCCGCGGUAAUACGUAGGUGGCAAGCGUUGUCCGGAAUUAUUGGGCGUAAAGCGCGCGCAGGUGGUAUAAUAAGUCUGAUGUGAAAGCCCACGGCUCAACCGUGGAGGGUCAUUGGAAACUGUAAUACUUGAGUGCAGGAGAGAAAAGUGGAAUUCCUAGUGUAGCGGUGGAAUGCGUAGAGAUUAGGAGGAACACCAGUGGCGAAGGCGGCUUUUUGGCCUGUAACUGACACUGAGGCGCGAAAGCGUGGGGAGCAAACAGGGAUUAGAUACCC
rnacentral:rRNA from 1 species